UAUAUUUAAAAAAAAACAUUUCUGGAUCAGAUAAAAAUGCUUUACUUCUCACAAAAGACGCGAAAGUGGAGUGAAAUACAACAGACAAAGUGGGAAAUGAUUUGGCGCUAACAUUCUGGAAGAGAAAGACGGCCUACAGGUGUGUGUUUGCGCUCAGCUACACAAACGGACGGACUGACUCAUAUCCAGACUGUGGGGAGCUAGCGAUGAGCAAGAACGAGAAAACGUGUCUCUGAACUAGCAUAAAGGCCUGCUAGUGCUAGUGCCUGCAACAGAGCCGGUGCAUGGUGGUGAAAUGUGAACCUAUUUCAGAACCGAACUACAUUUCCACUAACUUGAAAGCCGAACAAUGACGUAAGAAACU